UUCCGCUGUUCAUCCUUUCCCUCGGGAGGAGGAGGCUCCGCGGGCUGUUUGUUCAUUCCAUCCUAAACCUUUAUGUGAGGAAGAAAAUGCAAGGAUUAUCCAUCCCUUUGAAAUAAAUGUGAAAACCUCAGUUGUGUAGCUGCCCGGAGGCCUUGAAGAUCCCGUGGAAGAGCAAAGGCAGGAACCAAAUGGGGUGGGAUGCUGGGACCCCAAAACGAGCCCUGGGGUCUCCUGAAUUGUCGAGAACCUCUGGUGAAGAGGGCACACCUGUGCCACAAGACUCAAGUGGAGGUCAGAGGACAACUUUCAGGAAUCAGUCCUCUCCUUCCACCAUGUGGAUGCUGGCAUCAGUCUGUGGUCAUCGGUUUUGGUGACAAAUGCUAUUAUCUGCUGAGUCAUCUCACCAACACUCACUUGGUGACAGGGAGGACACAGGCCAAAUCAGAGGGAAAGGGGGGAUGGGGGAGAGAGAGAGAUAAUGGUUUAUAGAAAGCACCUAACAUUCUACCCUUUAUUAAUAAAUACACUCGAAAGCCUAGUGACACCUGGGAAAAAGCCUCCACAGUGCAAAAGAGAUUCCAGUGGUCUCAGAUGCCUGAGGCCCAUUUCUCCAGGACAUGAGGUUUUCAAUGCUAAAGUGUGGCAUGUUCAAGGACACAUGGCACAGUCUGAUAGAGCCAUGGGUAAUAACAAGCUGGCUGCAAAGAAGAGCACAGAAGAGGACGGUGGAACAGGCAUUGUGCAGAAUUCCCUUCUGGCAAGAGAAACCAAGAGAGCAACUUCAUCACACCGAUUCUUUCACGCUCCGGCAGGCA